UAUGACAUUUACUAAAUAUUUAUCAAUUGAAAAAAUAAUAAUAUUAAACCCGCGUUUUAAAAGCGCGGGUCAAAAUCUAGUAUCUUAUACUAUAAAGUAGAAGUUAACUCUCUUCUCCUCUUGCCACCUCAUCAAAUAGGAGUAGGAGAGCGCGACACGUGUCCAGCUUUCUGAUUUUUUUUUCUUUUUCGUUAAAAUGUUUGUGUUUUAAGGGUUUAAUUGUUAUGGGCUGAUCUUUAUCAUUAUAAAAGCCCAAUACACACAUUCUUGGUCUUCUAAAAUUGUAUUAAUUUCUAGGGUUCAUGAUGUUUUUUCAACUUCUGAUUUCUUAAACGACCAUGGAUUUUGUCGUUCGUGUCGAUUCGGCUGGUUUUCUUCUCACCGGCAAACGGACUGCAUUCAAUCGUUGUCAUUAACAACCUUCUUAACUCCUUCUCCCCACUCCAUCCAUGAUUCUUCAUACAAUGCAUCCUUCACUAUCUUCUGUUCUCUGAAUCUGCAGCUAUAAAUAGAUUAGAAUGGCCAACUUCGCUCUCCUUCCCGCUGACUUGAAAGUUGGGCACAGUGUAGCACCACCGUCGAAGUUCGCCAGAUAAGAGUAGUGGUCUCAUCUUUCAAGUGUUCAAUCAUCAUCAUCAUCGGAAUUUCAUAAGAGAGAAGGAGAGAUACUGAGCAAACGUUAAAAGCUUUACCUUCAAUGAAAUCAGACUUGCAACUAGAAACUUCAGAUCAAACUCUCUUGGUGACGCUGAGUCCUGAUCAAGGUCAGUUGGAAAGCAUCGUAUUUUGUUGUACGCUUCGACUCCUUUUACUCUUGAUAUAAUUUCGUAAUCGUUUUGGAAGACGGAUGGAUUAAUGCAUCCUCAUUGAUGAUCACAUUAACACUAAUUUCCCACUACUCACAAGAUCUAUCAUUCAAUGAAUCUCAUUGAAUCAUUUGCUUGAAUCCUCCACUAUAACUAUCAGCGACGGUUAUGGCGACCUCAUCCAUUUUACUCGCCGAUUUGAAGCCCGGCCUUUGUAGCUCCACCGUUGAAUCUCCCUCAGAUUAUGGGACGCUGGGAUUGUGAAGGAAUCCGGUGACUUUAUGGGUGUUGAUAUGCUUCUCCUUGAUGCACAAGUAAUUUUGUUACUUUCUAAGAAGAAAGGAAGGGAGAACGAACAAAGAAUUUCAAAUGGAAUCAACGAGGCUGUGGAGAAAUAAUGCUCUCUAUGUUUUAUCUUUUGAAAACAUGCGAUAUAUCAAAUUCAAGAGAGUUCACACAACAUUUUAGACAAAAUGGAAGGUCGGUUUCUUUAUUUUUGUUUGUAACUACGUAGCUGGGUGUUGCUUGGAUGUAAUUGAGAUUAAUAUUUGAUUAAUACUGUUGCCAGCUUGAUAAA